GUGAUACCAAUUAGCCCAUUCCCUGGCACCUGGUGGGGAAACAGGUAAUAAAGGAUUAAACCCAACUGGGCAGUUUCUGUAAAGGAAGGCAUGCGGGGCAAGUGGCAGAGGAUACUUAAGAGAGAAAUAGAGGGGUUUUUCUGCUCUUUAGGAAAGGAAUGAAAGAGGGACUUGUGGGAAGGAACUUGUACCUGGUACUGUUCCUGAAGGGAGAGGGCAGCUGGGGAGAAGCAGAGUCCUAAAGUAGGCCUGGAAAAGAGAAGCUACAGGGAUGAAGACUUGAGAGUCGUUGUUUUAGGAGAAGCGGGGCCUUCAUGGAGAAAACCCUCAGAAGCAGCCCUCUGUAACAAGGCGGGGAAGAGCAAGGAACCUGUGGAGGACUGAGCCUGGGCAGGGUGGAAGAGUUUUUAUUCUGCUGCGUUUGGACAUUGUUACUGUGGAAGAAGUGGAACCCUUCAUGUGACCUGGCUGGAGGACCAUGUUACUGUAUCUACCACUGAUGUCCGGAGGAGGAAGGGCUGGGAUUAUAAGCAAUCUGGCUGGAAGGCUGAGUCAUGAGAAGGGGUGAACCACUGCAGGCUCAGGGCAGUCAAUUGGGGGCAAAGUAAGAGGCUGCUGCACUGUGCCUGGCCACGAGGGAGCACACCAGCUGGCAACGGAGCAGAAUGUGACAUUUAUUCAUGGGAACCUUUAAAUAACACUGUGCUGGAGGCACUGGUGAGAUGGUGGACUAUAGGAAACAAUGCUUGAAAUUGACAGGUGUGUGAUAAAUGGACUUCACUUUUUAGGUUGGUUCUGGAGUACACAGAAGAAUUUAAACAUCUGUUCAGGGAAAACAACUCCAGGGGCAUGAAGCCUGUUUUAAAGACCAGCUGCCUAAAACAACCUCUUUAAGGAAUCACCAAGCAUUAAAUUACCUGUGUUAAGCAAAC